UACGUAGGGGGCAAGCGUUGUCCGGAUUUAUUGGGCGUAAAGAGCGUGUAGGCGGCUAGGUAGGUCCGUUGUGAAAACUCGAGGCUCAACCUCGAGACGUCGAUGGAAACCAUCUAGCUAGAGUCCGGAAGAGGAGAGUGGAAUUCCUGGUGUAGCGGUGAAAUGCGCAGAUAUCAGGAGGAACACCGGUGGCGAAGGCGGUUCUCUGGGCAUUACCUGACGCUGAGGAGCGAAAGCGUGGGGAGCAAACAGG
rnacentral:rRNA from 1 species